CCUACGGGAGGCUGCAGUGGGGAAUAUUGGACAAUGGGGGGAACCCUGAUCCAGCCAUGCCGCGUGUGUGAAGAAGGCCCUCGGGUUGUAAAGCACUUUCAGUGAGGAAGAACGCCUGGUGGUUAAUACCCAUCAGGAAAGACAUCACUCACAGAAGAAGCACCGGCUAACUCCGUGCCAGCAGCCGCGGUAAUACGGAGGGUGCGAGCGUUAAUCGGAAUUACUGGGCGUAAAGCGCGCGUAGGUGGCUUGAUAAGCCGGUUGUGAAAGCCCCGGGCUCAACCUGGGAACGGCAUCCGGAACUGUCAAGCUAGAGUGCAGGGGAGGAAGGUAGAAUUCCCGGUGUAGCGGUGAAAUGCGUAGAGAUCGGGAGGAAUACCAGUGGCGAAGGCGGCCUUCUGGACUGACACUGACACUGAGGUGCGAAAGCGUGGGUAGCAACAGGAUUAGAUACCCCUGUAGUC
rnacentral:rRNA from 1 species